AUGCGCAUGCGUAUAAUGACGGACUUCGUUAAUUUCGACGGACUACAUUUGAAGACCACGACAUAUCGUCUCAACUUUAUCAGACAACACCUAGACUCUGAGAUGGACGAUGCCUGCAUGGACAGCAGCAUCUCUGAUGAAGAGGACUUAUUUGGAUCCAUGACGUCAAGAAAGGCAGAAGCAGGGGAGCUGGAGUUGGACUUUCAUAUCCAUCCACUAGAGGUUUCAAUCCCAGGAUGGUUCCAACUCCUAAACUGCAGGUGGCAACAGCAGCAGACCUCCACAGAUAAACAAUUGUUCAUACAAUUUAUUCUAUUUGAUUACUUCUUUGUUUUAUUAUUAUUAUUAUUAUUAUUAUUAUUAUUAUUAUUAUUAUUUUUUAUUUUAUGUAUUCACUUUUAAUGUUUUUUUAUUGUGGUAGUGUUAAUUUGUCAUUUUGUUUUGAAUUCAAUUUAUCGCUCUGUUAUCUUGUCUUUGUAUUUGCAUCUUUGUUUCCAGGAGGACCCAGCUGUAAACGAGAUGAUUCAUCUCAAGUGGUUUUAUCCUCCUUAAAAAUAUAAGUUAAUAAAUAAAAUAAAUAAAUAAACAAACAGGAAGUAGCUUCAUUGUUAGCAGAAAAGGAGGUUUGUGGUUGGGUUUUAUUAUUUUCUUUACAUUUCUGAAGUGAAUCCCAGAGUUUAUGUAGCUGGGACACUCCUUUGUUUCAAAUCAACACUGUUGGGUUGUUGGUCACUUGUGGUAGAAUUAUAUACGGCUAAUAUGUAACAUGUGGGGGACUGAGUUCACUCUUAUGAUAAAACCUAUCUAAGAAAAAUCAUUAAUUUUAUCCUAUAUUACAACUUGCACAUCUGUGUAGCAAAGAUACAGUUGUUGUCUCUAGGUAAUCAGCCUGAUGUACAACAACUGAUUAAACAGUUUUAUGUCCAGAAAAAGGACAAAGAAGUGUAGCUGAAAGCAUCUGGGGUCUCAUUUAUCAAACAUUGCGUAGAAUCCUUACUAAAACCAUACUUAAGCUCUGCAAAAAAAAAUCUACUUAAGCCAAGUAGGUUUGUGAUCUAUCAAACAUGGAGUACGCACAGCUGCACGCAAUCUCUGCUUCUUAAAUCGGAAACUAACAAGAAUGUUUCUCAGCUGCUUUUUAGUCACAUCCCGCCCUCACCACGCCCACUUACUUCCAUAAAUAGUCAAUGCAAAGUGCCUUGUGCUCGUGCAUCUGGACAGGAUGCCUCCUAGAUGUCUCCCUGGUGAGGUUUUCCAGGCACGUCCAACAGCGAGGAGACCUAAAGGUAGACCCAGGACACGGUGGAGGGACUAUGUCACUUACCUGGCCAGGGAACGCCUUGGGAUUCCCCCGGAGGAGCUGGCCCAGGUGGCUGGGGAGAGGGAACUCUGGGCCCCUCGCCUUAGACUACUGCCCCCUGACCCGAAUGAAAAUGGAUGGAUGGAUGGAACAACGUGUAGUAAUCAAUAAUGAAAAAUCAUAAUUUUUACCAUUGAAAACAGGCAUCCCACAGGGAUCAUUACUAGGCCCACUGCUCUUUAAUGCUACUCAAUUCCAGGCCUUGAGGGCUGUUAUCCAGCAUGUUUUGGUUUUAACCCUUCUUCAACACACCUGAUUUUAAUCAGCAGGUGAUUAACAGGCUUCUGCAGAGCCUGGGCUGCUCCACAGGUGAUUCAACCACUGAAUCUAGUGUGUUGGACCAGAGAAAUCAUUAAAACAUACUGGAUACUGUGCUUCGAGGCCCAGAAUUGAAUAGACCUCCUCUAUUUUAAGAAUUUACCAAAAGUUUGUCCUUGGACUUGUUUUCAAAUGUAUGCAGAUGACGCGGUUGUGUACAUGAGUGACAGGAUCACUGAAACAAAGGCCUUGAUUGAGUUGAGCAGUGCCUCGCCUGGAAAACAGAUUAAAGCAGACAGACGCAGCAGGGGGAGUGACUGAAAGUCGGCGUUUAAGUCGGACAGAUUUGCCUACAUGUGUAGCUCACGGGUGACGAUGGUUGAAGAUAUUGUGUUAGAGUUCAUACUUGUUUAAUUUUUUAUUUUGAUUCUGGUGCCUGUUAGCAGCCGAAACACAUCCUCACAUGCUUGUGGAUAUAAUAUAGUUAUAGAAAUGUACGUUUAUAACUCAUAUUUCAGAUUCAAAUGAGUUUUAUGUUGACUGUUUAUCUGUAAUCUGACCUGCUUAAGGGGUUGUUGUUUAUUUUGUUUUUUCCAGCAGGUGUAUUUUAUAUAAAUGAUAAAACCAGUUUACCUUGAGGGAUGUUAAAGUCUCCCAGUAAAGCACAGGAAACACUUCAGAUAAAUCUGAAAGUCUAAACAUGUCAGAUGUUGGGCUGGUUUGUUUGUGGGUAGUUUUAUUACCUGCCAGAGCUGCUCUCUGGAAGAUUAAAGUCAGCAAACACAGAGACCACAGAGAAAAGGUCCUACUCACUCGAGAUGUAACUGAAGUCUGAAAGAGCAUUUUAAAUGAUGCACCUGAGCUGUAACUAUGGUAACGCAAGAUUCCAUAGCUUUACCAUAGUGACAGUCUAUCAUAGGUGACAGACAGCGCUCCAUAGGGAGCCUAAGUCACGCCCAUCUACUUCCGGA
ensembl:lncRNA